rnacentral:rRNA from 1 species
AUUGAACGCUGGCGGCAGGCCUAACACAUGCAAGUCGAGCGAGCGGCGGACGGGUGAGUAAUGUAUGGGGAAUGCGAGAUAGAGGGGGAUAAAUACUGGAAACGGUAGCUAAUACCGCAUACUAUCGGAUAACACAGAUGGGAUUAGAUAGUAUGUGAGGGAAUGGCUAAACUAGGCGACGAUCCCUAGAUGGUCUGAGAGGAGGAUCAGCCACACUGGGACUGAGACACGGCCCAGACUCAGACGGAGGCAGCAGUGGGGAAUAUGGCACAAUGGGCGCAAUCCUGAUGCAGCCAUGCCGCGGGUAUUAAGAAGGCCCUAGGGUUGUAAAGUACUUUCAGUCGGGAGGCGUUACCGACAGAAGAAGCACCGGCUAACUCCGUGCCAGCAGCCGCGGUAAUUC